CUGUGAAUGUAUUUGCUUACAUGGGAAAGGGGACUUUGCAGAUGUAAUUAAAUUAAGGACUUUGAAAAGAGGGGAUUAUCUGUGCGGGCUCAAUAUUAUCAUAAGAGGGAAGCACAAGGAAAAGGGGAUUGAGUCUGUGGUGUCAUAGAAGCUGGUACUUAUCAGGAUGAAUCAGAAAGUCUGUUUACACAAGGUGUCAAGUCAGAAGAGAGGUGAUGACAGGAGACAUUAUGAUGGACACAGAAGCUGAAGUGGAGUGACUGCUGGCUUUGAAGAUGAAAGAGGCCACAAGACAAGGAAUGUUGGAAAAGACAAGGAAACAGAUUCUGUUCUAGAACCCACAGAAGACUCAGCUACCAUCAGAGGGCACCGCGAAGGGAGGAGCGGCAACAUGGCGGCUUCGGGAGCUGGUGACCCUCUGGAUGCUAAGCGUGGAGAGGCCCCGUUCGCUCAGCUUAUCGACCCGACUCGGGAGAAGCAGACACCCGAGCAACUGCAUUCCAUGCCGCGGACGCAGCUUGCCCAGUGGCAGGAGGUCCUACAGCAGCGGCAGACCCGGAACAUCGUGACCUGCCUAGGCAUCGGGGCCCUGGUGUUAGCUAUUUAUGGUUACACCUUCUACUCGAUUUCCCAGGAGCGUUUCCUAGAUGAGCUAGAAGACGAGGCCAAAGUUGCCCGAGCCUGAGCUCUGGCAAGGGCGUCAGGAUGCUAAUCUGGAUGGGCAUUGAUCAUGUCCAACCUGCUGGAGCCCCUUCACAUGGUGGAUGAUGACCCAUGACCCUGUAGAAAUUGACUCCUGCUCACAACAUUGUUGGCCUUCUUACUAACCUUGGGCCAUGAUCGAUCCCAAGAAACCAGGGACUUAAGCAUUUGGCCACUGUCAAAAGAACAGAACUUUGCCAACUGCACACUUGCUAUGUACAAUGA